GGCCGCGUAGCUCAGUUGGCAGAGCAUUGGACUAGUAUUCCAAAGGUCGCGGGUUCGAUUCCCACCGUGGUCA